CAUUCAGAGACACUGUUUGUCUUGCCAUUGUAACCGAAGAAAAAAUGUAAAAGAUUAAGCAUUAAAUGGAUGCAAAUUCACAAUCGUGUACAGACAUAACAACAGAUGGGUGUUAACCAUAACUCUGGAACAGAAACUGAUACAUCUCAAAAAAACAUAUUGUUGGAGAUGAUGUUGCUCUACUGAUAUUUACUGCACACUCACUGGCCACUUUAUUAGGUACACCUUACUAGUACCGCGUUGGACCCUCUUUUGCCUUCAAAACUGCUUUAAACCUUUGUGGCGUAGAUUCAACAAGGUACUGGAAAUAUUGCUCAGAGAUUUUGGUCUAUAUUGACAUGAUAACAUCACUCAGUUGAUGCAGAUUUGUUGGCUGCACAUCCAUGAUGCGAAUAUCCAACACAAUCUCACGGCAAUUCGUAACUUUUUCAUUUAGUGGCUAAUUAGUAUGAAUUCGUACAAUCUAAUUUGUACAAUUUAGUACGAUUUGCUUAUCCCCCAAUGACGGUUGGGGUUAGGGGUGGGGUCAGGUGCCACGCCUCUUUUUUAAAAUCGUACUAUUUCGUACGACUGAACUCGUACGAAUUCGUACGAAUUAGCCACUAAACUGGCAAAACGUAAAAUACUUACGUUUUCUCGUGAGAUCAGGCUGAAAGAAACCAUAUGGCAUUUGAAUGUCUUAUGUAAUUGUUCUGUCAGCGUUCAGCUUAUGGGUGAUGUCAUUACCUCAGAAAAGCCUUACUGUCUAGAUACUAUCCAUUGAAAGCAUUUUGCCAUGUGCAAUAAUUACAUGCUGUAUUGUCAGCAAAAAAAAAAAAA
rnacentral:lncRNA from 1 species